rnacentral:rRNA from 1 species
GACGAACGCUGGCGGCGUGCUUAACACAUGCAAGUCGAACGGAAAGGCCCUGCUUUUGUGGGGUGCUCGAGUGGCGAACGGGUGUGUAACACGUGAGUAACCUGCCCUUGACUUUGGGAUAACUUCAGGAAACUGGGGCUAAUACCGGAUAGGAGCUCCUGCUGCAUGGGGGGGGUUGGAAAGUUUCGGCGGUGGGGGAUGGACUCGCGGCUUAUCAGCUUGUUGGUGGGGUAGUGGCUUACCAAGGCUUUGACGGGUAGCCGGCCUGAGAGGGUGGCCGGCCACCUUGGGCCUGCGAUACGGCCCAGACUCCUACGGGCGGCAGCAGUGGGGAAUAUUGCGCAAUGGGCGGAAGCCUGAUGCAGCAACGCCGCGUGCGGGAUGCCGGCCUUCGGGUUGUAAACCGCUUUCGCCUGUGACGAAGCGUGAGUGACGGUAAUGGGUAAAGAAGCACCGGCUAACUACGUG